GAUGAACGCUGGCGGCGUGCCUAACACAUUCAAGUCGAACGGACUUUGGUUGGAAGCUUGCUUCCGACCCAAGUUAGUGGCGGACGGGUGAGUAACGCGUGAGCAACCUGCCCCUGUGAGUGGAAUAACGUCCGGAAACAGACGCUAAUACCGCAUAACACACCGAGAUCGCAUGUUUUUGGUGUCAAAGAUUUAUCGCACAGGGAUGGGCUCGCGUUGGAUUAGUUAGUUGGUGAGGUAACGGCUCACCAAGACCGCGAUCCAUAGCCGGACUGAGAGGUUGAACGGCCACAUUGGAACUGAGACACGGCCCAGACUCCUACGGAGGCAGCAGUGGGGGAUAUUGCACAAUGGGCGAAAGCCUGAUGCAGCGACGCCGCGUGAGGGAAGACGGUUUUCGGAUUGUAAAACCUCUGUCUUCGGGGACGAAAAUGACGGUACCCGAGGAGGAAGCCAACGGCUAACUACGUG
rnacentral:rRNA from 1 species